rnacentral:rRNA from 1 species
UUAAACGUGAGAGUUCGAUCCUGGCUCAGGAUGAACGCUGGCGGCGUGCCUAACACAUGCAAGUCGAACGGAGAUUUAACGCUGAUGAAGCUUCGGCAGAUUCUUGUUAAAUCUUAGUGGCGGACGGGUGAGUAACGCGUGGGCAACCUGCCUCAUACUGGGGGAUAACAGCUGGAAACGACUGUUAAUACCGCAUAAGCGCACGGUAUCGCAUGAUACAGUGUGAAAAACUCCGGUGGUAUGAGAUGGGCCCGCGUCAGAUUAGCCAGUUGGCAG